UAGGGAAUCUUCCGCAAUGGGCGAAAGCCUGACGGAGCAACGCCGCGUGAGUGAUGAAGGGUUUCGGCUCGUAAAACUCUGUUAUUAGGGAAGAACAAAUGUGUAAGUAACUGUGCACAUCUUGACGGUACCUAAUCAGAAAGCCACGGCUAACUACGUGCCAGCAGCCGCGGUAAUACGUAGGUGGCAAGCGUUAUCCGGAAUUAUUGGGCGUAAAGCGCGCGUAGGCGGUUUCUUAAGUCUGAUGUGAAAGCCCACGGCUCAACCGUGGAGGGUCAUUGGAAACUGGGAAACUUGAGUGCAGAAGAGGAAAGUGGAAUUCCAUGUGUAGCGGUGAAAUACGCAGAGAUAUGGAGGAACACCAGUGGCGAAGGCGACUUUCUGGUCUGUAACUGACGCUGAUGUGCGAAAGCGUGGGGAUCAAACAGG
rnacentral:rRNA from 1 species